rnacentral:rRNA from 1 species
GACGAACGCUGGCGGCGUGCCUAAUACAUGCAAGUCGAACGCAAAACUUUCACCGAAUGCUUGCAUUCACGAAAGUUUUGAGUGGCGAACGGGUGAGUAACACGUGGGUAACCUGCCCAGAAGAGGGGGAUAACACUUGGAAACAGGUGCUAAUACCGCAUAAUAACAAAAACCGCAUGGUCUUUGUUUGAAAGAUGGUUUUGCUAUCACUUCUGGAUGGACCCGCGGCGUAUUAGCUAGUUGGUAAGGUAAAGGCUUACCAAGGCAAUGAUUCGUAGCAGGACUGAGAGGUUGGUAGGCCACAUGGGACCUGUGACACAGCCCAAUGUUCUACGGGAGGCAGCAGUAGGGAAUCUUCCACAAGGGAGUAAAGUCUGAUGGAGAACCGCCGCGUGAGUGAAGAAGGUUUUCGGAGCGGAAAACUCUGUUGUUAGAGAUGAACGUGUGUGAGAGUAACUGCUCAUGCAGUGACGGUAUCUAACCAGAAAGCCACGGCUAACUACGUGCCAGCCGCCGCAGUAA